GCGACGUCCUUGGUCUCUGGCGCCGAGUACUGCUAUAGAGCUUUCGGGUUUGGUGGCGGUGCAAAGUGUAGGAGUUCCUAAAAGGCGGUCUUGCUGGGAUGUUCAAUGCCCGGUUAUAUAACCGCAACGUCGCAGAUUAAAUUGCCCUUCGGGUGGCGAUUUUUGAUAUAUUCCACUAACUGUACGUAGUCGCUUAGGCAGUGAUCGUACAGUUAAACCAUAUCACAAACAGUC
rnacentral:snoRNA from 1 species